GAUGAACGCUAGCUACAGGCUUAACACAUGCAAGUCGAGGGGGCAGCAUGAACUUAGCUUGCUAAGUUUGAUGGCGACCGGCGCACGGGUGAGUAACACGUAUCCAACCUUCCGUUUACUCAGGGAUAGCCUUUCGAAAGAAGGAUUAAUACCUGAUAGUAUGGUGAGAUUGCAUGAUAACACCAUUAAAGAUUUAUUGGUAAACGAUGGGGAUGCGUUCCAUUAGGUAGUAGGCGGGGUAACGGCCCACCUAGCCUGCGAUGGAUAGGGGUUCUGAGAGGAAGGUCCCCCANAUUGGAACUGAGACACGGUCCAAACUCCUACGGGAGGCAGCAGUGAGGAAUAUUGGUCAAUGGGCGAGAGCCUGAACCAGCCAAGUAGCGUGAAGGAUGACUGCCCUAUGGGUUGUAAACUUCUUUUAUAAAGGAAUAAAGUCGGGUAUGUAUACCCGUUUGCAUGUACUUUAUGAAUAAGGAUCGGCUAACUCCGUG
rnacentral:rRNA from 1 species